rnacentral:rRNA from 1 species
UACAGAGACUGCAAGCGUUAUUCGGAUUCACUGGGCGUAAAGGGUGCGCAGGUGGUUUGGCAAGUUUGACGUGAAAGCCCCGGGCUUAACCCGGGAACGGCGUUGAAAACUGCUUGAACUGGAGGGUUGGAGGGGGGACUGGAAUUCUUGGUGUAGCAGUGAAAUGCGCAGAUAUCAAGAGGAACACCAGUGGCGAAGGCGAGUCCCUGGACAAACCCUGACACUGAGGCACGAAAGCCAAGGGAGCAAACAGG